CGUAGGGUGCGAGCGUUAAUCGGGAUUACUGGGCGUAAAGCGUGCGCAGGCGGUUUUGUAAGACAGGCGUGAAAUCCCCGGGCUCAACCUGGGAACUGCGUUUGUGACUGCAAGGCUAGAGUAUGGCAGAGGGGGGUGGAAUUCCACGUGUAGCAGUGAAAUGCGUAGAGAUGUGGAGGAACACCGAUGGCGAAGGCAGCCCCCUGGGCCAAUACUGACGCUCAUGCACGAAAGCGUGGGUAGCAAACAGGAUUAGAUACCCUGGUAGUCCACGCCCUAAACGAUGUCAACUAGGUGUUGGGUGGGUAAAACCAUUUAGUACCGGAGCUAACGCGUGAAGUUGACCGCCUGGGGAGUACGGCCGCAAGGUUA
rnacentral:rRNA from 1 species